rnacentral:rRNA from 1 species
CAAUAGCGUAUAUUAAAGUUGUUGCAGUUAAAAAGCUCGUAGUUGGAUUUCUGGUAGGAGCGACCGUGCCGAACUUGAUUGUUCGAGUAUUGUGUUGUCUUCAGCCAUCCUCGUGGAGAACUUUUCUAACAUUAACUUGUUGGGAUUGGGACCCGCGUCGUUUACUGUGAAAAAAUUAGAGUGUUUAAAGCAGGCAUUAGCUUGAAUACAUUAGCAUGGAAUAAUAAGAUAGGACUUUGGUACUACUUUGUUGGUUUGCAUACCAAAUUAAUGAUCAACAGGAACAGUUUGAGGAUAUUCGUAUGAACAUGUCAGAGGUGAAAUUCUUGGAUUUUGAUCAGACGAACUACUGCGAAAGCAUUUAUCAAGGAUGUUUUCAUUAA